rnacentral:rRNA from 1 species
GACGAACGCUGGCGGCGUGCUUAACACAUGCAAGUCGUACGGUAAGGCCCUUUCGGGGGUACACGAGUGGCGAACGGGUGAGUAACACGUGAGUAACCUGCCCACAACUUUGGGAUAACGCUAGGAAACUGGUGCUAAUACUGGAUAUGUGCUCCUGCCGCAUGGUGGGGGUGGGAAAGCUCCGGCGGUUGUGGAUGGACUCGCGGCCUAUCAGCUUGCUGGUGGGGUAGUGGCCUACCAAGGCGGCGACGGGUAGCCGGCCUGAGAGGGUGACCGGCCACAUUUGGACUGAGAUACGGCCCAGACUCCUACGGGAGGCAGCAGUGGGGAAUAUUGCACAAUGGGCGCAAGCCUGAUGCAGCAACGCCGCGUGCGGGAUGACGGCCUUCGGGUUGUAAACCGCUUUCAGCAGGGACGAAGCUUUUUGUGACGGUACCUGCAGAAGAAGCACCGGCUAACUACGUG